rnacentral:rRNA from 1 species
GUGCCAGCAGCCGCGGUAAUACGUAGGGGGCGAGCGUUGUCCGGAUUUAUUGGGCGUAAAGAGCUCGUAGGCGGUUUGGUAAGUCGGAUGUGAAAUCUCCAGGCUCAACUUGGAGGGGUCAUUCGAUACUGCCAUGACUAGAGUUCGGUAGGGGAAUGUGGAAUACCUGGUGGAGCGGUGAAAUGCGCAGAUAUCAGGUGGAACACCCGUAGCGAAGGCGGCAUUCUGGGCCGAUACUGACGCUGAGGAGCGAAAGCGUGGGGAGCGAACAGGAUUAGAUACCCUGGUAGUCC